rnacentral:rRNA from 1 species
ACUCAAAUGAAUUGACGGGGGCCCGCACAAGCGGCGGAGCGUGUGGUUUAAUUCGAUGCAACGCGAAGAACCUUACCAGGGCUUGACAUGCUAGUGGUACUGAUCUGAAAGGUGAGGGACCCUUCGGGGAGCUAGCACAGGUGCUGCAUGGCUGUCGUCAGCUCGUGCCGUGAGGUGUUGGGUUAAGUCCCGCAACGAGCGCAACCCUCGCCGUCAGUUAAAUCUUUCUGACGGGACCGCUGGGAUAAACCCAGAGGAAGGUGGGGAUGACGUCAAGUCAGCAUGGCCCUUACGUCCUGGGCUACACACACGCUACAAUGGCCGGUACAGUGGGCUGCCAAGGCGCGAGCCGGAGCUAAUCCCCCAAAGCCGGCCUCAGUUCAGAUUGCAGGCUGCAACUCGCCUGCAUGAAGGCGGAGUCGCUAGUAACCGCAGGUCAGCACACUGCGGUGAAUACGUUCCCGGGCCUUGUACACACCGCCCGU